UGCGGAGGGGGCUAGCGUUGUUCGGAAUUACUGGGCGUAAAGCGCACGUAGGCGGACUGUUAAGUCGGGGGUGAAAUCCUGGGGCUCAACCUCAGAAUUGCCUCCGAUACUGGCAGUCUCGAGUGCGGGAGAGGUGAGUGGAAUUCCCAGUGUAGAGGUGAAAUUCGUAGAUAUUGGGAAGAACACCAGUGGCGAAGGCGGCUCACUGGCCCGAUACUGACGCUGAGGUGCGAAAGCGUGGGGAGCAAACAGG
rnacentral:rRNA from 1 species